rnacentral:rRNA from 1 species
GCGGCGAACGGGUGAGUAACACGUGGGUGAUCUGCCCUGCACUUCGGGAUAAGCCUGGGAAACUGGGUCUAAUACCGGAUAUGACCUCAGGUUGCAUGACUUGGGGUGGAAAGAUUUAUCGGUGCAGGAUGGGCCCGCGGCCUAUCAGCUUGUUGGUGGGGUAAUGGCCUACCAAGGCGACGACGGGUAGCCGACCUGAGAGGGUGACCGGCCACACUGGGACUGAGACACGGCCCAGACUCCUACGGGAGGCAGCAGUGGGGAAUAUUGCACAAUGGGCGAAAGCCUGAUGCAGCGACGCCGCGUGAGGGAUGACGGCCUUCGGGUUGUAAACCUCUUUCAGCAGGGACGAAGCGCAAGUGACGGUACCUGCAGAAGAAGCACCGGCUAACUACGUGCCAGCAGCCGCGGUAAUACGUAGGGUGCAAGCGUUGUCCGGAAUUACUGGGCGUAAAGAGUUCGUAGGCGGUUUGUCGCGUCGUUUGUGAAAACCAGCAGCUCAACUGCUGGCUUGCAGGCGAUACGGGCAGACUUGAGUACUGCAGGGGAGACUGGAAUUCCUGGUGUAGCGGUGAAAU